rnacentral:tRNA from 1 species
AAUAGAAGCCAAGAUUGAGGCUAUUCACUGUUAAUGAAUUUAUUGAAUAUUUUCCUAUU